GCGCAUAAAGGCAAACUCGUCGCGAGGCGGGGACGCAAAGCCACGGGGCUCAAGUUUGAGUCAGCCGAGCUGCCGCCG
rnacentral:ncRNA from 1 species